rfam:Hepatitis C virus isolate EBW9, complete genome
AUUCCGCUCGUCGGCGCCCCCCUAGGGGGCGCUGCCAGGGCCUUCGCGCAUGGCGUGCGGGUCCUGGARGACGGCGUGAAUUACGCAACAGGGAAYCUUCCUGGUUGCUCUUU